GGCCUCGUAGCUCAGCUGAGCUGAGCUGAGCUCAGAGUGUGUGCUGUACAAAGCUUAGGCGACGUGCAUGCGUGGGUUCGAAUCCCACCGAGGCUA
rnacentral:tRNA from 1 species